rnacentral:rRNA from 1 species
GACGAACGCUGGCGGCGCGCUUAACACAUGCAAGUCGAGCGAAGCGGCGGACGGGUGAGUAACACGUGAGUAACCUGCUUUAGACAUUGGGAUAGCCUCGGGAAACCGGGAUUAAUACCAAAUGGUCUAAGAUGGACUCGUGUCCCAUUAGUUAGUUGGUGAGGUAACGGCCCACCAAGGCGACGAUGGGUAGCCGGCAUGGGAGAGUGAGCGGAGACAUUGGAGCUGGGAAACAGUGGGAAAUCUACGGGAGGGGGCAGUGGGGAAUAUAGCAAAGUCGAGGGAGCUAUGAAGGAGCGAGGACGGGAAAACGAUGAAGGCUUUCGAGUCGUAAAGUGCUGUUAUAUGGGAAGCGGUACCAUAAGAAAAAGCCCCGGCUAACUACGUGCCAGCAGCCGCGGUAAUUC